rnacentral:rRNA from 1 species
GACGAGGGGUCCUAGCGUUGUUCGGAAUCACUGGGCGUAAAGCGUAUGUAGGCGGGCUUUUAAGUCAGGUGUGAAAUCCCAUGGCUCAACCAUGGAAUUGCAUUUGAAACUGGAAGUCUUGAAUGUGGGAGAGAUUGGUAGAAUACCUGGUGUAGUGGUGAAAUACGUAGAUAUCAGGUGGAAUACCGGUGGCGAAGGCGGCCAAUUGGCCCAACAUUGACGCUGAGAUACGAAAGCGUGGGGAUCAAACAGG